GCCAAGAUGGCAGCGUGAGUAGAGCAGCGGAAAUCUCCUCCCAAAACCACAUAUAUUUUUGAAAAUACAACAAAGACAACUCUUCCUAAAAGAGAGACCAGAAGACACAGGACAACAUCCAGACCACAUCCACACCUGCAAGAACCUAGCGCCUUGCGAAGGGGGAGAGGAAGGCCACAAACCAACAAGAAGGGAAGCUCUUCCAGCCGUCACUCAUGCCAGCUCUGCAAACUAUCUCUACCACCAUGAAAAGGCAAAAUUUCAGGCAGACCAAGUUAACAGAGUCAACACCUGAGAAGGAGACAGACCUAACCAGUCUUCCUGAAAAAGAAUUCAAAAUAAAAAUCAUAAACAUGCUGACGGAGAUGCAGAGAAAUAUACAAGAGCUAAGGGAUGAAGUCCAGGGGGAGAUUACAGACGUCUGGAGAGAGAUUACAGAUGUCCGGAAGGAGAUUACAGAAGUGAAACAAUCUCUGGAAGGAUUUAUAAGCAGAAUGGAUAAAAUGCAAGAGGCCAUUGAUGGAAAAGAAACCAGAGAACAGGAACGCAUAGAAGCUGACAUAGACAGAGAUAAAAAGAUCUCCAGGAAUGAAACAAUAUUAAGAGAACGGUGUGACCAAUCCAGAAGGAACAAUAUCCGUAUUAUAGGGAUACCAGAAGAAGAAGAAGAGAGAAAAAGGGAUAGAAAGUGUCUUUGAAGAAAUAAUUGCUGAAAACUUCCCCAAACUGGGGGAGGAAAUAAUCGAAUAGACCACGGAAAUACACAGAACUCCCAACAGAAAGGACCCAAGGAGGACAACACCAAGACACAUAAUAAUUAAAAUAGCAAAGAUCAAGGACAAGGAAAGAGUUUUAAAGGCAGCUAGAGAGAAAAAGGUCACCUAUAAAGGAAAAUCCAUCAGGCUAUCAUCAGACUUCUCAACAGAAACCUUACAGGCCAGAAGAGAAUGGCAUGAUAUAUUUAAUGCAAUGAAACAGAAGGGCCUUGAACCAAGGAUACUGUAUCCAGCACGAUUAUCAUUUAGAUAUGAAGGAGGGAUUAAACAAUUCCCAGACAAGCAAAAGUUGAGGGAAUUUGCCUCCCACAAACCACCUGUACAGGGUAUUUUAGAGGGACUGUUCUAGACGGGAGCAGUCCUAAGACUAAACAGAUGUCACUAGAGAAAAUAAAAUCACAGCAAAGAAAGCAGACCAACCAAAUACUAACUAAAGGCAAAAAAUAAAAUCAACUACCCACUAAAAGCAGUUAAAGGAAACAUGAAAGAGCACAGAAUAAAACAACCAACAUAUAAAGAAUGGAGGAGGAGGAAUAAGAAGGGAGAGAAGAAAAGAAUCUCCAGACAGUGUAUAUAACAGCUCAAUAAGCGAGCUAAGUUAGGCAGUAAGAUACUAAAGAAGCUAACCUUGAACCUUUGGUAACCAUAAAUCUAAAGCCUGCAAUGGCAAUAAGUACAUAUCUUUCAAUAGUCACCCUAAAUGUAAAUGGACUGAAUGCACCAAUCAAAAGACACAGAGUAACAGAAUGGAUAAAAAAGCAAGACCCAUCUAUAUGCUGCUUACAAGAAACUCACCUCAAACCCAAAGACAUGCACAGACUAAAAGUCAAGGGAUGGAAAAACAUAUUUCAGGCAA